CAAUAGCGUAUAUUAAAGUUGUUGCAGUUAAAAAGCUCGUAGUUGGAUUUCGGGGCAGCCUGGCUGGUCCGCCGCAAGGCGAGUACUGGUCAGCCGCCCUUCCUCUCGAAAGCCCCGACCGCUCUUUAUUGCAGUGGUCGGGUAGUUCGGGACGUUUACUUUGAAAAAAUUAGAGUGUUCAAGGCAGGCCUACGCCUGAAUACAUUAGCAUGGAAUAAUGGAAGAGGACCUCGGUCCUAUUUUGUUGGUUUCCAGGACCGAAGUAAUGAUUAAGAGGGACAGUUGGGGGCAUUCGUAUUUAAUUGUCAGAGGUGAAAUUCUCGGAUUUAUGAAAGACGAACAACUGCGAAAGCAUUUGCCAAGGAUGUUUUCAUUAA
rnacentral:rRNA from 1 species